AAAGGAAUUGACGGGGGCCCGCACAAGCGGCGGAGCAUGCGGAUUAAUUCGAUGCAACGCGAAGAACCUUACCAGGGCUUGACAUAUACCGGAAACACCCAGAGAUGGGUGCCCCGCAAGGCCGGUAUACAGGUGGUGCAUGGUUGUCGUCAGCUCGUGUCGUGAGAUGUUGGGUUAAGUCCCGCAACGAGCGCAACCCUCGUUCUAUGUUGCCAGCACGUCAUGGUGGGGACUCAUAGAAGACUGCCGGGGUCAACUCGGAGGAAGGUGGGGAUGACGUCAAAUCAUCAUGCCCCUUAUGUCCUGGGCUUCACGCAUGCUACAAUGGCCAGUACAAAGGGCUGCGAUACCGUGAGGUGGAGCGAAUCCCAAAAAACUGGUCUCAGUUCGGAUUGGGGUCUGCAACUCGACCCCAUGAAGUCGGAGUCGCUAGUAAUCGCAGAUCAGCAACGCUGCGGUGAAUACGUUCCCGGGCCUUGUACACACCGCCCGU
rnacentral:rRNA from 1 species